rnacentral:sRNA from 1 species
CAUUGCAUAAUCAAACAUAUAUAGUUGGGAAUAAACUGAAAAUUUAUGCCAAAGGUGGAUAGCAAAUCCUUAUGUAAUACAAGGAACAACUUGAAAGACAAAGUGGCACCGACAAUUUAGCUUAUGAUUUAUGUUAUGUACUGAUGUGGGAUUUAUCUAAUCAGCACAAGACCGUCAAUAAGCACA